rnacentral:rRNA from 1 species
AUUGAACGCUGGCGGCAGGCCUAACACAUGCAAGUCGCGCGAGCGGCGGACGGGUGAGCAAUGUAUGGGGCUCUGCACGAUAGAGGGGGAUAACUACUGGAAACGGUGGCUCAUACCGCAUCCUAUCGGAUGAACACAUAUGGGUUUGGCUAGUAGGUGGGGUAAAGGCUCACCUAGGCGACGAUCUUUAGCUGGUCUGAGAGGAUGAUCAGCCACACUGGAAUUGAGACACGGCCCAGACUCCUACGGGGAGCAGCAGUGGGGAAUAUUGCACAAUGGGCGAAAGCCUGCUGCAGCCAUGCCGCGUGUAUGAAGAAGGCCUGAGGGUUGUAAAGUACUUUCAGCGGGGAGGCGUUACCCGCAGAAGAAGCACCGGCUAACUCCGUGCCAGCAGCCGCGGUAAUUC